UGGUUAUGGUGGGAGGGUCACACCCGGUCUCAUUCCGAACCCGGUCGUUAAGUCUCCUUGCGCUGAUGGUACUG
rnacentral:rRNA from 1 species